GACGAACGCUGGCGGCGUGCUUAACACAUGCAAGUCGAACGGAAAGGCCCUGCUUGCAGGGUACUCGAGUGGCGAACGGGUGAGUAACACGUGGGUGAUCUGCCCUGCACUUCGGGAUAAGCUUGGGAAACUGGGUCUAAUACCGGAUAGGAGCCAUCUUUAGUGUGGUGGUUGGAAAGUUUUUUCGGUGUAGGAUGAGCUCGCGGCCUAUCAGCUUGUUGGUGGGGUAAUGGCCUACCAAGGCGGCGACGGGUAGCCGGCCUGGGAGGGUGUACGGCCACAUUGGGACUGAGAUACGGCCCAGACUCCGACGGGAGGCAGCAGGGGGGAAUAUUGCACAAUGGGCGCAAGCCUGAUGCAGCGACGCCGCGGGGGGGAUGAAGGGCUUCGGGUUGGAAACUCCUUUCGCUAGGGACGAAGCUUUUUGUGACGGUACCUAGAGAAGAAGCACCGGCUAACUACGUG
rnacentral:rRNA from 1 species